CGGGCAGUAUCUUUUCGCAAGAACUGCACCAUCAUAAACAAAAAAUGAUGAACAAAUUCUGCCUUGAUCCAGAAAGGACUAGGACAGAGGG
rfam:Anoxybacillus amylolyticus strain DSM 15939, complete genome.